GACGAACGCUGGCGGCGUGCUUAACACAUGCAAGUCGAACGGAAAGGCCCUGCUUUUGUGGGGUGCUCGAGUGGCGAACGGGUGAGUAACACGUGAGUAACCUGCCCUUGACUUUGGGAUAACUUCAGGAAACUGGGGCUAAUACCGGAUAGGAGCUCCUGCUGCAUGGUGGGGGUUGGAAAGUUUCGGCGGUUGUGGAUGGACUCGCGGCUUAUCAGCUUGUUGGUGGGGUAGUGGCUUACCAAGGCUUUGACGGGUAGCCGGCCUGAGAGGGUGACCGGCCACAUUGGGACUGAGGUACGGCCCAGACUCCUACGGGAGGCAGCAGCGGGGAAUAUUGCAAAAUGGGCGGAAGCCUGAUGCAGCAACGCCGCGUGCGGGAUGACGGCCUUCGGGUUGUAAACCGCUUUCGCCUGUGACGAAGCGUGAGUGACGGUAAUGGGUAAAGAAGCACCGGCUAACUACGUG
rnacentral:rRNA from 1 species